AUACGGAGGAUCCAAGCGUUAUCCGGAAUCAUUGGGUUUAAAGGGUCCGUAGGCGGGUUUAUAAGUCAGUGGAGAAAGUUUGCGGCUCAACCGUAAAAUUGCCAUUGAUACUGUAGAUCUUGAAUUAGUGUGAAGUGAUUAGAAUAAGUAGUGUAGCGGUGAAAUGCAUAGAUAUUACUUAGAAUACCAAUUGCGAAGGCAGGUCACUAACACUAUAUUGACGCUGAGGGACGAAAGCGUGGGGAGCGAACAGGAUUAGAUACCCUAGUAGUCC
rnacentral:rRNA from 1 species